rnacentral:rRNA from 1 species
GCCUGAUCAGCCAUGCCGCGUGCAGUGAUGACGGCCCUACGGGUUGUAAACUGCUUUUGCCGGGAAAUAAACCUCGUUACGUGUACCGGGCUGAAUGUACUCUGACAAUAAAGAUCGCCUAACUCCACGCCAGCAGCCGCGGUAAUACGGAAGAUCCGGGCGUUAUCCGGAUUUAUUGGGUUUAAAGGGUGCGUAGGGGAACCGUUAAGCCAAGGCCGAAAAACGCUAUUUUAACUGUCGCACUGGACUUGAAACUAAGGUACUUGAAUGAACUAUGGGUAGGCGGAAUGCGACAAGAAGGGGUGAAAUGCAUAGGGAUGUCACAGAACACCAAUUGCGAAGGGAACUUACUAUGCUUUGAUUGGCCCUGAGCCCCGGAAGCGUGACCAUCGAACACAAUUAGAUACCCCGGCAGGCAACAA